rnacentral:rRNA from 1 species
UACGUAGGGUGCAAGCGUUAUCCGGAAUUAUUGGGCGUAAAGCGUCCGCAGGUGGCCAUGUAAGUCUGCUGUCAAAGCGUCUGGCUCAACCAGAUAAAGGCAGUGGAAACUACAUAGCUAGAGUAAGGUAGGGGUAGAGGGAAUUCCUGGUGUAGCGGUGAAAUGCGUAGAGAUCAGGAAGAACACCGGUGGCGAAAGCGCUCUGCUGGACCUUAACUGACACUGAGGGACGAAAGCUAGGGGAGCGAAUGGG